CAACCCUCAAGCCUAGCUUGGUGUUGGGCCCCGCCGCGUGGCGGGCCCUAAAGUCAGUGGCGGUGCCGUCCGGCCCCGAGCGCAGUAACUCUUCUCGCUCUGGAGGCCUGGGCGCGUGCCUGCCAGCAACCCCCAAUUUCUUCA
rnacentral:misc_RNA from 1 species